rnacentral:rRNA from 1 species
CAUUUGAAACUGGGAAACUAGAGUGUGUGAGAGGGGGGUAGAAUUCCAAGUGUAGCGGUGAAAUGCGUAGAGAUUUGGAGGAAUACCAGUGGCGAAGGCGGCCCCCUGGCACAACACUGACGCUCAGGUGCGAUAGCGUGCGGAGCAAACAGGAUUAGAUACCCUGGUAGUCCACGCCGUAAACGAUGUCUACUAGCUGUUCGUGUCCUUGUGAUGUGAGUAGCGCAGCUAACGCACUAAGUAGACCGCCUGGGGAGUACGGUCGCAAGAUUAAAACUCAAAUGAAUUGACGCCGGCCCGCACAAGCGGUGGAGCAUGUGGUUUAAUUCGACGCAACGCGAAGAACCUUACCUACUCUUGACAUCUACGGAAGACUGCAGAGAUGCGGUUGUGCCUUCGGGAACCGUAAGACAGGUGCUGCAUGGCUGUCGUCAGCUCGUGUUGUGAAAUGUUGGGUUAAGUCCCGCAACGAGCGCAACCCCUAUCCUUAGUUGCCAGCGAUUCGGUCGGGAACUCUAGGGAGACUGCCGGUGAUAAACCGGAGGAAGGUGGGGACGACGUCAAGUCAUCAUGGCCCUUACGAGUAGGGCUACACACGUGCUACAAUGGUACGUACAGAGGGAGGCAAGCUGGCGACAGUGAGCGGAUCUCUUAAAGCGUAUCGUAGUCCGGAUCGCAGUCUGCAACUCGACUGCGUGAAGUCGGAAUCG